rnacentral:lncRNA from 1 species
GGGUUCAUCGCAUACAGAAAGGAUACCCUUAAGCUCCUUCUCUGCACUUUCUCUGAAAGCAGCAUUCACCUCUUCAGCGAAGGUCUUCUUUGAGACCUGGACAACUAAGUCAACGACCGAGACAUUUGGUGUUGGUACACGCAAGGCAAUGCCAUUUAGUUUGCCUUUGAGAGUAGGGAGUACAAGGGCCACAGCCUUCGCUGCACCAGUUGAAGUCGGAACAAUGUUGAGAGCUGCAGCUCUAGCACGCCUGAGGUCGCGGUGGCUAGCAUCGAGUAAUCGUUGGUCACCAGUAUAUGAAUGAGUUGUAGUCAUUGUGCCCUUGAUUAUACCUGCCAUAUAUUAUGUUAGUUCUGUAUUAUCGCAUGCCUACAUGUUCUGUUCGUAACUAUUAAACUGUCAGAAGGUUGCCUAGUCUUGGAAUCUUUGACUAGGCACUAGGUGUAUAACUAGAAAAGCGCCAUUCUUCUAAAUAGGCAUAUCAGUACUAUAUCUACUUAACAUACGUACGUACCACUUGAUUCGAACCAUUUUAAGAAGUGCGAAUUAAAAACCGAGGCAAACUAAGAAAUUUGUAGGCACGGGGACAAUCUGGUCAAAGGAGUUACCAAAUUUCUGGUCCAGAACCUUGACAAAGGGAGCAAGGCAAUUGGUGGUGCAAGAAGCAUUACUGAUUAUGGGCUCAUCUGGGUUGUAUAUGUCAGCAUUAACUCCGACAACAUAGGUCGGGAUAUCACCCUUUCCUGGGGCAGUUAUGAGCACUUUCUUCGCUCCUGCUUGGAUGUGCUUUCCUG